CCCCCGUCUUAACCCUGGAGCUGCAUCUGUGCUGUGUUUCUUGGGUGUCGGAGAGAGGGGCGGAAUUUCCGGUGUAGUGGUGAAAUGCGAAUAUAUUAGGAGGAACAUCACUGGGGGAAGUGGCUUUCCUGUCAAUGACUCUGACUCAAGCGCAAAAACUGGGGGGGAAAACAGAAUUAUAUACCCCGUUGUUCCCCCCUCCAAAAAUGAUAUACAAGGGGGGGGAGGUAUCCCCCCCUUCUGUACCAGAGUUAACACAUUAAAUGUCAGGGCUGGGGAAUACCGGCGCAAGGUUGAAACUCAAAGGAAUUGGCCGGCCACCGGACAACGGGAGGAGUGUGGUGUUUAAUUUCGAUGAACCCGUAAACCCUAACGCCCCUUGACCUACCGAUGAACAUAUCAGAGAUGMCRURCCUYUUCGGAGCAUCUGUCCGGGACGGGCAUGGCAGUGGUCAGCUCGUGUCGUGAGAUGUUGGGUUAAAUUCCGCAACGAGCGAACCCCUGUUGCUAGUUGAUAACAUUCAGAUGAUCACUCUAUCGAGCUGCCGGCAAUAAAUCCGAGGAAGGUGGGGAGGACGUCAAAUCAUCAUGCCCUUUAUGUCUUGGCUACAUCCUCCUACAAUGGCUAUUACACAGAGAAGCUAAACGCUAAAAUGGAGAAAAUCCCCAAAAAUACUCCCAGUUCAGAUCGUUGCGCGCAACCAGCUCACAUGAAGUGGGAAUUGCUAGUAAUGGCAGCUCAGAAUGGCGCGGUGAAUACGUUCCCGGGCCUUGUACACACCCCCCGUCACCCCAUGAGAGUUUUCAACACCCGAAGUCGAUAGU
rnacentral:rRNA from 1 species